UAACCUACCUAUAAGACUGGGAUAACGUUACGGGAAACCGGAGCUAAUACCGGAUAAUAUAUUGAACCGCAUGGUUCAAUAGUGAAAGACGGUUUUGCUGUCACUUAUAGAUGGAUCCGCGCCGCAUUAGCUAGUUGGUAAGGUAACGGCUUACCAAGGCAACUAUGCGUAGCCGACCUGAGAGGGUGAUCGGCCACACUGGAACUGAGACACGGUCCAGACUCCUACGGGAGGCAGCAGCG
rnacentral:rRNA from 1 species